ensembl:lncRNA
UUCAGAUGCUGUUUACAGAAAGAAUGCUUCCAGGAAUCAGGACACAUAAAAGAAAAAACAAAAAGGAGAAUGUUAAAAGCACCUCAGCUUGCUAUCAUCAGGUCUGUCAACCCUGGGGCUUAACAGUGCUUCAUCCAACCUUGUUGCGUUUUUUUUUUUGUUUGUUUUUUUUAAUAGCAAGCUGUUUUUCACUUUCCUCCUGAUUACUUUAUCGUUUUGAAAUCUUGGAUAAGAAGAGUAAUUGCGAGAGCAGGUCGAGCCAGAAUUUCCUGGAGGUAGCGUAUCUCUCAAGUCUCAGUUGGUGCGGAUAGAAGAGAGGGAUGUGUGUGUGUGGGGGGGGGGGGGGAUCUCCUCCUGCGUGUUUAUCCACAGUAAUCAGGAGUCUGUGGAGCAGGAGCGGAGGCUUGGCAGUAGGGGGACACUGCCACAUUAGACAGGAAUGAAUAGCAAUGUGCCAAGCCUGGCACACAAGACACUGUAGACACAGCAUCCUUUUUGAUUUGGUCAAAACUUUAGGAGGGAGGGAGAACGAGUGAGAGAGAGAGAGAGAGAUGCUGAGACUGUUGAGCUGGAGCAAACUGGACCAAUGUUUCAGUUUUGUUGUGUUGUUUUUUUUCUUUUUUCCUCCUUCUCUCUGCCCAUGAACUUUUGCAGCAAAGCAAUGGGGAGGAACAAAAGAAGCCGUUCUGGGUUGACAAAGAGGAGAAUAGAUGGUAUGCGAACGACAAGCCACCAUCUGCUCUGGAGGACGACCAAAAUCUUGACACACUUCAGCAAUCCCACAAUCCCCUGCUCCAGGAGCGUUCCAGGCACCCCAUUCAUACUCUCCCCUCCGCUCCCAGAGUCUGUGUGAUUUCCCCCUUUUUCUCUCCUCCUCAAUUAAGUCAUUAAUGCCUUUCUUCGCCCCCCUCUUAAUGACCGCAGAGGCACAAACAAGCCCUGGUUGCUUCCUAUUGAGGCCCUGUGAUUGGGCAUAAUUGCUGCGAGGGCCUAAGUAUGGAGAAACGAGAACGAGGGAGGAGGGAUGCAUUGUUUUUUUUUCUUUUUUCUUUUUUUUGCCAGUAGCAAAGAAGAGAGCAUAGAAGGAGAUGCACAUUAUGUAGAACCCUUCCUAUGUUGACCUGCAUGACAGUAGUGUCACUGACCACUGCAAGUCUUCAGUGGACAGGCAGUGGAAAAUUAACUUGAGCUGGAAGGCGAUAAAUAAAUAAAUUAAUGCUCAAAUUUAGCUUCACAGAAAGCACAGGGGACUGCAUAAAUUACCAUGUUAAACAGCAGGUCCUUUGUCCACCUUCUAAUUAUUAUGAAACAACAUGUCUUCAUCAUGCAAGUUUCAAGACCACCGUAUGUUUUAGUGCUUUGGGCGAGGGAAAGGUGCAUUUGUUCGCAGUGUUAGAUGCAGAGGAAGAAAACCUACCAAGCAAGCAGAAUGUCCAUUGAAACACCAAAAAC